rnacentral:lncRNA from 1 species
GCAGAUGAUGUUUAAUACACUGGUAAACAGCUCCUGGGGGGACUCGGUUGAAUUGCGCGCCAAUGUGACCUGUAACAAUGAGGACUCAGACCUCCUGGAGGACAACUCAGCCACUACCAUCAUCCCCAUCCUGUACCCCAUCAACAUCCUCAUCCAGGACCAAGAAAACUCCACACUCUAUGUCAGUUUCACCCCCAAAGGCCCCAAGAUCCACCAAGUCAAGCACAUGUACCAGGUAUGAAUCCCAAUGUGGAAG